CAUAUCAAUAAGCGGAGGAAAAGAAACUAACAAGGAUUCCCCUAGUAACUGCGAGUGAAGCGGGAAAAGCUCAAAUUUAAAAUCUGUCAGUCUUUGGCUGUCCGAGUUGUAAUCUAGAGAAGCGUUAUCCGCGUUGGACCGUGUACAAGUCUCCUGGAAUGGAGCGUCAUAGAGGGUGAGAAUCCCGUCUUUGACACGGACUGCCAGGGCUUUGUGAUACGCUCUCAAAGAGUCGAGUUGUUUGGGAAUGCAGCUCAAAAUGGGUGGUAAAUUCCAUCUAAAGCUAAAUAUUGGCGAGAGACCGAUAGCGAACAAGUACCGUGAGGGAAAGAUGAAAAGAACUUUGGAAAGAGAGUUAAACAGUACGUGAAAUUGCUGAAAGGGAAACGCUUGAAGUCAGUCGCGUUAUCCAGGGAUCAACCUUGCUUUUGCUUGGUGUACUUUCUGGUUGACGGGUCAGCAUCAAUUUUGACUAUUGGAAAAAGAUCAGGGGAAUGUGGCAUCUUCGGAUGUGUUAUAGCCCUUGGUUGCAUACAAUGGUUGGGAUUGAGGAACUCAGCACGCCGCAAGGCCGGGUUUUUAACCACGUACGUGCUUAGGAUGCUGGCAUAAUGGCUUUAAUCGACCCGUCUUGAAACACGGACCAAGGAGUCUAACAUGCCUGCGAGUGUUUGGGUGGAAAACCCGAGCGCGUAAUGAAAGUGAAAGUUGAGAUCCCUGUCGUGGGGAGCAUCGACGCCCGGACCAGACCUUUUGUGACGGUUCCGCGGUAGAGCAUGUAUGUUGGGACCCGAAAGAUGGUGAACUAUGCCUGAAUAGGGUGAAGCCAGAGGAAACUCUGGUGGAGGCUCGUAGCGAUUCUGACGUGCAAAUCGAUCGUCAAAUUUGGGUAUAGGGGCGAAAGACUAAUCGAACCAUCUAGUAGCUGGUUCCUGCC
rnacentral:rRNA from 1 species